GACGAACGCUGGCGGCGUGCUUAACACAUGCAAGUCGAACGGACAGGCCCUGCUUUUGUGGGGUGCUCGAGUGGCGAACUGGUGAGUAACACGUGAGUAACCUGCCCUUGACUUUGGUAUAACUUCAGGAAACUGGGGCUAAUACCGGAUAGGAGCUCCUGCUGCAUGGUGGGGGUUGGAAAGUUUCGGCGGUUGGGGAUGGACUCGCGGCCUAUCAGCUUGUUGGUGGGGUAGUGGCUUACCAAGGCUUUGACGGGUAGCCGGCCUGAGAGGGUGACCGGCCACAUUGGGACUGAGAUACGGCCCAGACUCCUACGGGAGGCAGCAGUGGGGAAUAGUGCACAAUGGGCGGGAGCCUGAUGCAGCAACGCCGCGUGCGGGAUGACGGCCUUCGGGUUGUAUACCGCUGUCGCCUGUGACGAAGCGUGAGUGACGGUAAUGGGUAAAGAAGCACCGGCUAACUACGUG
rnacentral:rRNA from 1 species